rnacentral:lncRNA from 1 species
GUCUAUGCACACUGACAAGUAGCCUGAGGGCUUGCUGUUGGGUGGGGCUGGUGCCUAGGGCAGGCUGCCUGCCCCAGUUGAACUGGAUUAAAUCUGUGCUCUAGUGGGUGUGGCCAACCCCCCUGGUUUUAAGGCUAGGGCAAGAACUUCACUGGCGUCUGCCAGCGUCUGUGUCAGCGUGCCUGUACUAGGUUACAACAAUAGCCCCCACCAAUGUCUCAGUCUCUGGUGAGGUCUCACCUCUCACCGAGAAGCACCCAGAGCCUACCAGCUUGGACUUGACAGAGCAGUGAUUUAUAACUCCUCCCUUGCUUCUUUCUCCAUGGUGUAAUUUCAGAAGUGAGAUGAUUGCUCCUUGCUGUUUGCUAUGCACUCUGUGGAUUCCACGCUGAGAUCACUACAGUUGGAGAAGGAUGGCCUCUAUCAAAGCAAGUCAGAGAAACUCCGAGGAGAGAAGCCAAGGUGUCAUUUCCUGGGACCAAAUGAGGUAUAAACUUAAAGAUGAGAGAGGCUAGCUCAACCCAGCCUGAUGUCAUGAGCAUAUGUAAUGUAAACCAGAGAGCUGUGGAAUCAGCCAUCUUCCACCACGUGCAUGGAGAAACAGCAAAUGGCAGUCUGUGGAGGGAGAAGAAUGGAGCGGACGUGCACAGAGAAACAGAGGUGAGGAACAUGCGUGUUCCACAGGUAGAGAGACCCAACGAGGGUCUUCUUUACGGAAACA